rnacentral:rRNA from 1 species
GAUGAACGCUAGCGAUAGGCUUAACACAUGCAAGUCGAGGGGCAGCGAGGGUAGCAAUACCUGUCGGCGACCGGCGCACGGGUGAGUAACGCGUAUGUAACCUGCCCGCAACAGGGGGAUAACCCGGCGAAAGUCGGACUAAUACCGCAUAAAACAGGGGUCCCGCAUGGGAAUAUUUGUUAAAGAUUUAUCGGUUGCGGAUGGGCAUGCGUACCAUUAGGUAGUUGGUGAGGUAACGGCUCACCAAGCCUUCGAUGGUUAGGGGUUCUGGGAGGAAGGUACACAACACAGGGACUGAAGCACGGACGAUAUUAGUACAGGAGGCAGCAGUGUGAAAUAAUGGUCAAUGUGCAGUAGCAUGAACCAGCCAAGGCGCGUGAAGGAUGACUGCCCUAUGGGUUGUAAACGUCUUAUACAAGGGAAUAAAAUAAGAUACGUGUAUUUUAUUACAUGUACCAGGGGAAUAAGCAACGGCUAACUCCGUG